rnacentral:rRNA from 1 species
AGGGAAAGAGGGAGGAAUGAUUUACACAUGCAAGUCGAACGGCAGCGCGGGCUUCGGCCUGGCGGCGAGUGGCGAACGGGUGAGUAAUACAUCGGAACGUGCCCAGUAGUGGGGGAUAGCUCGGCGAAAGCCGGAUUAAUACCGCAUACGACCUGAGGGUGAAAGCGGGGGAUCUUCGGACCUCGCGCUAUUGGAGCGGCCGAUGGCAGAUUAGCUAGUUGGUGGGGUAAAGGCCUACCAAGGCGACGAUCUGUAGCUGGUCUGAGAGGACGACCAGCCACACUGGGACUGAGACACGGCCCAGACUCCUACGGGAGGCAGCAGUGGGGAAUUUUGGACAAUGGGCGAAAGCCUGAUCCAGCAAUGCCGCGUGUGUGAUGAAGGCCUUCGGGUUGUAAAGCACUUUUGGCGGGAACGAAAAGGACUGUGCCAAUACCACGGUUCGAUGACGGUACCCGCAGAAUAAGCACCGGCUAACUACGUG